GGGGAGGGUAAAUUCUCCUAAGGCUAAAUAACGGCGAGAGACCGAUAGCGAACAAGUACCGUGAGGGAAAGAUGAAAAGAACUUUGAAAAGAGAGUUAAACAGUACGUGAAAUUGUUGAAAGGGAAACGAUUGAAGCCAGUCGUACCUUCGGGUAAUCAGCCUUUCGGGUGCGAUUUUGUGGAGUGUGAGGAGUUAAACGCCUUCAUGCCUGGCAUUUUCGGGCAUCUUGGGGUGUACUUGCACCGUGUGGUUGGUUAACAUCAAUUUUGGUGGUCAUAAAAUGACUGGAGGAUGGACUCCGAUAAUAUAAAACGG
rnacentral:rRNA from 1 species